UGCCCGAGAGUGGGGGAUAACGAGGCGAAAGCUUUGCUAAUACCGCAUACGAUCUCAGGAUGAAAGCAGGGGACCGCAAGGCCUUGCGCUCACGGAGCGGCCGAUGGCAGAUUAGGUAGUUGGUGGGAUAAAAGCUUACCAAGCCGACGAUCUGUAGCUGGUCUGAGAGGACGACCAGCCACACUGGGACUGAGACACGGCCCAGACUCCUACGGGAGGCAGCAGUGGGGAAUUUUGGACAAUGGGCGCAAGCCUGAUCCAGCCAUGCCGCGUGCAGGAUGAAGGCCUUCGGGUUGUAAACUGCUUUUGUACGGAACGAAAAGACUCUGGUUAAUACCUGGGGUCCAUGACGGUACCGUAAGAAUAAGCACCGGCUAACUACGUGCCAGCAGCCGCGGUAAUACGUAGGGUGCAAGCGUUAAUCGGAAUUACUGGGCGUAAAGCGUGCGCAGGCGGUUAUAUAAGACAGAUGUGAAAUCCCCGGGCUCAACCUGGAACUGCAUUUGUGACUGUAUAGCUAGAGUACGGCAGAGGGGGAUGGAAUUCCGCGUGUAGCAGUGAAAUGCGUAGAUAUGCGGAGGACACCGAUGGCGAAGGCAAUCCCCUGGGCCUGUACUGACGCUCAUGCACGAAAG
rnacentral:rRNA from 1 species